rnacentral:tRNA from 1 species
GGCUAGAUGGCAGAGUGGUGAUGCAGCGGCCUGCAAAGCCGCGUACGCCGGUUCGAUUCCGGCUCUAGCCUCCA